UCUCUCUCUCUCCAUCUUCAUCUUCAACCUUGGAACUUCUUGGACGUGGGGAGGGGAAAACCGACCGAGAACCAGUAGCUCGCUAGCCCACACGCACGCCCCCUCCGCCGCUCGCCGCCGCCGUUUGCACCGCCAAGCUGCUCGCCGUCCGCCCGCACCACCGGCCGCACCACCGUCGCCCUCUCUCCUCUCUUCUCCGGCUCUGGUUUCUACUUGAAAACCCAGUAGAUCUGAGGAGGUGUCGAAGCUGGCUGUAGCCCAGCCGAAUCGCCGUCGGCCGCCGUCGCCGAAGCUCGCCACUACCACCGUCGUCCGCGCGAAGCCCGCGCCCGCGCGCCGCUCCGCCCGCUUCGCCCAGCUCGUCGUCCCGAGCUGCUGUUCAGCUCGCGCAAGAGCUACCGGAGCUCAUUUGUCGCCGCCAUGAACCGCUGUUCGUCGCCGCCAACCACCGCCGUAGCUCCUCUGCCCACUCCCGACCCCAACCAGCCCCGGAUCUGCCCUCCUUCGCCCCCAACCAGCAGCAAACAGAGAAGAAGAAAAUGGGUAUGGCAGCCCCUUCGUGGGCCGUUUUGGCCACCUUCCCGAGCCCGGAUUCUCGGCCCGCUUUGAGGAAAGUCGAUCAUCGCGUCGUCCUCGUCGUUUUGGUCCGCUCGGCUCGCUAAUCCGGUGAGUUUAACUCACUAAAUCUUGAUUAGAGUGUUAAUGAUGCCCUAGGUGUGCUUAGUUUAAAUUAAGUUUAGGUGUGUGGAUUAGUGCAUUUAAUUAUAAAUUGGAUUAAGAUGUUGGUUUAUGUUAAAGUGGGUUUAAAUUAAAGGUUAAAAGAAGUUAUUUAAAGUUAAGCCUUGAUGUGACACAAAAUGAUUUUAGUUUUGAAUUAUUUAAGUGCUUCGAAAUUCUGGAAAAUAUUAUAUUAUAUUAUAAUCCGAAAUUAUUAAAAUAUUAUUAUUUUAUAUAAAAAAAUCAGAAAAAUUAUUUUUGACCCCGGUUGCUUAGAAUUUCGUGCCGUUUGCUACGGUACAUUCGGAUUUUGAAAUUGAUAAUUGGAUAUUAUGAAUUGAGUGUGGAUUUCGAAAAUUAUGGAUAUUAUUAUUUAAUUAAUUUUCGGAAUAAAUUUAAUUAUCUAUUAAAUUCCGAAAAUUUUCAUUGGGACCUUAUUUGCUCAAAAUUUCGUGUCGAUCGCUGUUGUGCAUUUAGAAUUUGAUAUUUAUGAUUGGUUGUGGUAGUCAUUUCGAAUUAAAGAAUUCAGAAUGAAAGGGUUCGUUGACCGUUAAGAGUAGGGAACCUGUUCGUUCCCUGUGUCGUGAAUUGAAUGUGAUUUCGAUUUAUGAGGAUUUUUUAUAAAAUCCUAAAUGUGGAAAUUGAGGGGCGGUUGGUCGUGAAAUACCACCUAUUAGAGGUCGUGCCCGAUGAGGCCGUGACCUAUUAGAGGUCGUGCCCAAUGAGGCUGUGACCUAUUAGAGGUUGUGCUCGAUGAGGCCGUGAAAUACCACCUAUUAGAGGUCAUGCCCGAUGAGGCCGUCAUAUACCACCUAUUAGAGGUCGUGCCCGAUGAGGCCGUGAAAUACCACCUAUUAGAGGUCGUGCCCGAUGAGGCCGUGAAAUGCCACCUGAUAAAGGUCGCGCCCAGUGGGGCCGUGAAUUGCCACCUGAUAAAGGUCGCGCCGAGUGGGGCCGUGAUGCCACUGAUUCUAAUUUUUGCCGAGUGGGCCGUGAUUGUGAGCAAUGAUUGAUUUGUUGGAAUGCAUGUUGAGUGUUGUUGAUGUGUCGGAUUAUGGGACGGAAUUGUGUGGCAUGGAAUGGGACGUGUCAUAACGAUUUAGUCUUAUAAUCAGGACCCCCCCCCCCCCCCGGCGGUUGUUGGUUAUAUGAAAGUGAAUACGUUCCGGUUGUUUAAGUUCCUCUUAUUAUCUGUGAUUGAGUGAUUUGAAUUGUGCUAACCUGCAGGAGGGAACUGAGACGAGGUAAGUCUUCUGUGUGAUGUGGCUAGGCCACCCUUGGGCGUAUUUUCUUUCUAAUAGGGGUUUAGGGGGUUGAACUUGCUGAGACGUUGUCUCAGUGGUUAUUGAAUAACCAUUUCAGGUCCCUGGUGGACGGAG
rnacentral:lncRNA from 1 species